GUCGUGGCCGGAACAGCUGCUUUACGGCUAGCUCGGCUUCCCGCAGGCGUGCAGAGCUUGCCGCGGCUGCUUUGCUGCACGUGUGGCGCUGUCGGCGGUUCGUUUGGUAAUCUCUCUUAUUGGCUUGGUGGUGCCACCGUGAAGAACGGAGUGGCAGCUUCGGCCUAGGCUCGUGAGCUCAUGGAAUCUGCAGCUGAGAAGGAAGGGACUCCGGGAGGAGGUUCCCAGAGGGUAGCGGAGGGGGCGCGGCCGAGGCCUGCGGCUGGUGGGGAGGGAGCCAGGGACUUAGACGGGAGCCCAGAAGCUGGCGAUGGAGAGGAGAGGAACGGACUGGCAGGAACUAAGACCACGGAGGAUGCGGAGGAGAUAAAGAUGGACUUAGCUGUGGUGAAGCAGGAAGUAGUAGACUGGUCGGAUUUAGACAGUGGUGUUGCGGACAGCCAGUGGGUGAAGCAGGAGGUGGAGGGCGGGCCCGAGGUGAAGGAUGAGAAAGGCGUGUUGGAAGUGAAGCAGGAGGCGGAUAGUAGCCUGGUGGUGAAAGAAGAGGAGGUGGAUGAGCCAGAAGUGAAGGAAGAGAAGGUGAAGGUGAAGGAGGAGGUGACGGACUGGGAAGAAGUGAAGGAGGAGGACUUGACCAUAAAACAGGAGUUGUUUGUUGGUCAGAACGUAAAGGAAGAGCAAGUGAUGGAUGCAGCGCCUAUAAAAGAAGAGGGUUCCCUCAAGAGCGAAGCGAUGGAAGACGCGAAGGUGAAGGAAGAGCCCCAGAUGAACCCCCGAGUGGGCAGCAAGAGGAAAUUGGCUCUGUCAAGGUGUGAGACUUGUGGGACAGAAGAAGCGAAGUACAGAUGUCCACGCUGCAUGCGCUUUUCCUGCAGUUUGCCCUGUGUAAAGAAACACAAAGCUGACCUGACGUGCAGUGGAGUCCGGGAUAAGACCGCUUAUGUGUCGCUGCAGCAGUUUACUGAGAUGAAUCUCCUGAGUGACUAUAGAUUUUUGGAAGACGUGGCAAGAACGGCAGACAAGGUUUCAAGAGAUACUUUCUUGAAAAGACCAAAGCGCAAAAAAUAUCUGUUCUUUAUGAAGAAUCGUGCCCGAAAGCAAGGCAUUUACUUGAGGCUUCUACCCAAUGGAUUUAGCAAGAGAAAAGAGAAUUCAACAGUUUUUGACCAUAGAUGAGUCUGGAGGACAGCAGCUCACAGUGCUUAAUCAUGAGGAAAUGUGCUCGGAAACUCGGGACGCAGGCUCACCCACCUCACACGCCCCAGCUGCGAGAACCACCCCCUAAGUCAGGAAGACAAACGUCCCUCAGGUUCAGAACUUCUGUUCUUUCCGCUUACCAACCUUACCAACAAGUCCGUGACUCCAGGACGUCGUUCCCACGGCUUUAGAAAGUGGCAAGCGGCCCUGAAUAAAAGCAGUAGUCAAGGAAGCAGCAGUUUUGUUGGCAUGUCAAGCUCCAGUUUCCUCAGAGUCAAGCAGAGUACAUAGAAAAAAGAGUACCAGAUGAUAAAACUAUUAAUGAAAUUCUAAAGCCUUACAUCGAUCCUGAAGAGUCUGACCCUGUGAUCCGUCAGAGAUUGAAAGCUUACGCACAGUCACAGACUGGGGUCCAAAUUUUAAUGAGGGUCGAAAAUAUGCAGCAAAAUAUGAUAAGGUAUCAUGAACUGGAUCCUUACAAAAGCCUUUCAGACAACUUGAAGGACAAAGUGAUCAUUGAGUACCCGACUUUGCACGUGGUGUUGAGAGGAUCUAGUAAUGACAAGCAGCUACUUCAAGUGAAAAGUGAGUCUGCCCAGAAGCUUGGCAAUGGAAAUUAAGCACUGAGAAAGAAGGUGGCCGUUCCCAGAGGGCUGAGAAGAUUGUGUGUUACUGGACUGCUGGGUGACUGGGUCCGUCAGUGGGUAGUGUGUUGUUUAUCCAAAAAGUAAUUAAACAGCAUAAGGUUUCUCACGGGGAGAAAGUGCAUGUUACUGCCUUUUGAGCUAAGUGACUUAUAAACCCUCUUCUUCCAUAGGAUGAGCUCCUGGUUCACCCGACUGCUGUAGUCCUUGCUAGGCAUUCAGUGUGCUCAUUUCUAUAAGCUGAAAACCUGUUUUAUUUGUUAAGUUGUCACGAGACCAAGCCCAAGGGUCACCUGUGUCAACCACAACGCUGGCGCUCUCUGUGGUCUCAGCUCUCUGAAGAGAAUGCCUCACAUCAAAGCAUCUAGCUAGGGAGAAGCCGCUGUCCAGGAGUUGGCUGUCCUCUGGUUGGGCUUAUGUGCUAUACAAAGGGUUCAUGUGGAGCCGUGUUGUUGCCAGGGCCACAGGGAAGACGGGAGGCUCCAUCUCACGGGAUGCAGAUGGAGCCAAAGGUGGAGUCUGUGUCCCUGACACGGGCAGGAAGGAAUUGAACUGAACUGUCUGGGGGUUUGGGGGAAGAGGGAGAAAGUACACAGAAGGACAUGUGAUCCAAGUGUGGGGAGUGAGGGCUCUCCUCACUGAAAUCAGCACUUUCCUCUGAAGUUGAAGAAAAGUGUUGAGCUUUAUAAAACUAAACAAAGAAAAAAUUUAUUCUGUGCUUUCCUCUGCUUCCCGGAGUUCACCUAAAUAUAACUGCCAGCUCAUUUGGCUAAUAUGCAUAUUUAUUCCCAAUUUAUAAUGAACAUGUGUUAUGUGUUGUCUUAGUUAAGACUUUAUGUUGUGAACAGACACCAUGACCUAGGCAACUCUUCAAAAGAGCAUUUCAUUGGAGCUGGCUUACAGGUUCAGAGGUUCAGUCAAUGAUCACGAAGGUAGGAUCAUAGCAGUGUCCAUAUGUGGUACAGGAGAUGCUGAGAGUUGUACGUCUUCAUCUGAAGGCUGCUAGCAGAAUGCUGACUUCUGGGCAUUGGGGAUGAGGGUCUCAAUUGCGUUGGCAUUGAACAUCAGAAGCCCACAUCCACAGUGCCACGCCUACUCCAACAGAGCCACACCGUCUAAUAGUGCCUCCCCUGGGCUGAGCAUGUGCAAACCAUCACAUGUGUCAUAAUGAAUAAUCGUGUUAUACUUACAGGGGGUGAGGUUGGAAUAGUUUGCUGAGAGCCCUGGAAGGCAGAGGUAUUAAAGCUCACUCUUAGAUUCGGACAAAUUCUGGAGGACACAGGCUGAGACAGUGACAAGUUUGUCAUCUGCAGUCUGUCCAUGGAUUACCUUCUAGGAGGGGAGAACCUGCAUCUGGCCUCUUAGUUUUUAAACAGUGAUUUCAGAGACAAAAUGUGCUAGUUAUCACAUAUAGGGUUAAUAUCAUAAUUUAUAACAUAUAAAAUUUGCAAGUUCAAGAACCUAAAUUUGAACCUCAGAACCUACAUUUACAGAAAAAGCAACAGCUGUCAGGCGUGUAAUUCCAGGCCAGCCUGGCCUGGCUUACUGUGACUUCAAGGUCAGUGAGAAACGUCUCAAUCAAGGUGGUGGGCACGGACAGCACACACAGUUCUCCUCUGGCUGCACACAUGCACGCUGCAUCCUUGAGCCCUUGCCAAGCCAGCAGUGUGAGCCUACUCUUUCCUGUUUCAUAUUCUUGGUGAGUAGUUGAAGGCUCCAGAGCUGCUUUUUCUCCCCAUUCCUUACUGUGAUCCUUUACUUAGGAUCUUAGAGUCACUUAAAUGCAGCGUCAUCAUGGAGGAGACUGAGGUCCAGCCAGACUAAGGCUUGUGCUCAAGACCACUUGGAUUAAGUGAGCCAGCAUUGCAUUCAAGCCAGGGCAGUUGAGCUUCCUAGAUUACAUCUUUAACUGUUGGGCUACAGUCUCAGCUAGGCUCUGUAUCAGAGACUAUCUGGGAUUCCUGCUGUCUCAAGUUACUGUGGCUAAACUUGCCACAGACAUUUUGUUCUUCAUACUUGUGACCAGUUAUGAGUUCCUGUGUUUACCACCCUCCACUAUGCAAAAAAACUUCUCUAAUGAGCUCUGAGAGCUGCUCUCAAUGAUAAACUUGUGGGUUAUUAAUUUCUUUUCUUUUCUUUUUUUUUCUCUUCCUUUCCUUUCCUUUUUCCUUUCCUUUUUCCUUUCCUUUUUCCUUUCCUCUUUCCUUUCCUCUUUCCUUUCCUCUUUCCUUUCCUCUUUCCUUUCCUUUCCUUUCCUUUCCUUUCCUUUCCUUUCCUUUCUUUUCCUUUCCUUUCCUUUCCUUUCCAGGAUCCCCUGUGUUCUGGACUAGCUUCAAGUUUACAAGUAGCCAAGAAUGGCCUUGAGCACCCACCUGAUCGUCUGCCUCCACCCCCCAGUUCUGGGAUGGUAGAUACCCAACCAACCACUUCUUUUUUUUAUUUAAAGAAGGUUGUUCAUAAUUUGUUAGACCACUCUUCUCCAUUUCUCCCAAAACGUUGGCAUCUGGUCUUUUUCAUUGUCUCCUGUGAAUUAGCCACGGCUGAACUAAGUACCACUGAGAGCUAUCGCAGCAGUCUUGUGACAGCAUGGCUGUCCCACACUGCCUGGUCAGUGGGCCCACAUGGAAAGGACACAAACAUGCCCAAAUAACUGGACGACUGUCGUGUUGGCAUAUUGAGCAUCAGAAGCCUCCUGUGCUUGGCCUGCUGGUGAAUCCAGCUAUAACUACUGGGCCCUCAGACAGGACAGGCUCGAGGGGUAGAGUUUGUGGGCGCGAUUGCAGCUAUGGGAGGUAGGGCCUUUUGGAAUCCCUAGGAAAGGCUUCAGGAACAGAAAUCAAAUGGUUGAAGGAAAUCCAUGAAGCUAGCAGGGCAGACACGGAAGGUCUUGGAGACCAUAUGAGUGUUCAUUCCAUAGACUAGAGACACGUGUUCAUCUCUGACAUAAGCACCAACUCGAGAAGGUUUUAUUUUUAAAAGCAAGCUUCCUAUCUCUCUUAGGAGAGGCAGAGACGUUUACACGGCGAUUUCACAUUUUUAUUUCAGAAAACUCAAGUUUCUCCUGGGUUUCUGUUUAGCACUCUAGUUAUUUUUGCUGUUAGAAGAAACUGUCACAAUCUACCUCUUGGUAUCUUGAUUCUUUUGGCUCCUUGAACAUCGGUUCUGGUUUAAGUCCAUAUGGUAUAAAUCUGUGGUGCAGAGACAGUCCCUAAAGCCCAGUAACUUUUUAUUUUCCUAGAGCCCUGUGGUCCUCCAUUUGACUGGUACUCUGUGUUCCUAAAGAAAAAAGAAUUCAGUUUCUGUGUUUUGAAGUAUGGGGGGCUGGCUAACCAGGCACUGGGAUUCUCUGCUUUUAGAACUUUCACCACUGUGAGAGACGGUGGUGAUCUUUCCAUGUCCCUGACAGAUUGGAAGGUGGUUUUCAAGUUCUCCACUUCAGAUCUCUCCCUGGAAAGCUUGGUCAGUUGUUCAGCCAACAUCCUUGGCCUCUGCAGCUGUUGCAGCUUAGAAGCCUGUAAUAGUUUUCACAACAUUUGGACCCUCACAGACAGAACUUCUAAGCACUGAGAUGGAAAAGUGGAGGGGCAAAGAAAGUGGGUAUCCAGUUUUCCAGGUAAUAGACUCCAUAAGGAAGCUACUGUGUGGCUUGACCCAUGUGGACAGUCAAGGGGAAGGAAUGACCCAGGUGUUUCUUCAUUGCUUUCCUAGGUGGCAAGGAGGGCAGCUGUGACCUUUGAGUUGAUUCUUUUUUUCCCUGACCAGCUUGUGUGUCCUUAGGAGUGAGAGAGGAAGCAAGUUAGAUACCAAGUCCUGUCA